rnacentral:ncRNA from 2 species
AAGCGUUCUCAGGGCGGGGUGCAAUUCCCCACCGGCGGUGAUGGCGGGGCAACCCGCACAAGCCCGCGAGCGCCUUGCACGCCACCGUGCAAGGGUCAGCAGAUCCGGUGCGAUCCCGGAGCCGACGGUUGGAACGUGUUCGGUCUCGAACACGCUCCUAAAGUCCGGAUGAAAGAGAGCGCGA